GCCUGCUAAAAAUGGGAGUGUGUUUAGGCAUCACACCUAGAACUUUCCUCCAUGACCCUUCGGCUGAAGAAGUCCUCCAGCCCUUCAUCCAGGCGGGUGGCCAUCCCAUUCUCCUGACGAGUCCCAGGUGCUGGCAUCUGCUGGGAGGAAAGUCCCGUGGGACAUCUCAUCUAGGUCAGGAAGCCCCACCUUUGACCUCCGACUUGCUCUGUACCCUCUUUUGGCCUUGGUCUCCUCUUCUGUAGAGAGAGGCACUGGAUAAGAUAGUCCAGAGGCCUGCAUCAUGCUCUGAGGUUCUGGGACCCUAAAACUACAUCAAGGGUGCACUACUGCCCAAGGAGGAGACUGGCCUCACGUCUUAAGCCCGGCGUUGUCCAGCACCAGCUCUUCGAGGCUCCCCGACUUGCUCAGGGUAU
rnacentral:lncRNA from 1 species